AUCUUUUUAGUAUUAAAACUAGUACACAUGACUUCCAAUCAUUUAGUCUUGGUUAAAGUCCAAGAAAAGAUA
rnacentral:tRNA from 1 species